CAGGCCUAACACAUGCAAGUCGAGCGGAGAUGAGGUGCUUGCACCUUAUCUUAGCGGCGGACGGGUGAGUAAUGCUUAGGAAUCUGCCUAUUAGUGGGGGACAACAUUCCGAAAGGAAUGCUAAUACCGCAUACGUCCUACGGGAGAAAGCAGGGGAUCUUCGGACCUUGCGCUAAUAGAUGAGCCUAAGUCGGAUUAGCUAGUUGGUGGGGUAAAGGCCUACCAAGGCGACGAUCUGUAGCGGGUCUGAGAGGAUGAUCCGCCACACUGGGACUGAGACACGGCCCAGACUCCUACGGGAGGCAGCAGUGGGGAAUAUUGGACAAUGGGGGGAACCCUGAUCCAGCCAUGCCGCGUGUGUGAAGAAGGCCUUAUGAUUGUAAAGCACUUUAAGCGAGGAGGAGGCUACUGAGACUAAUACUCUUGGAUAGUGGACGUUACUCGCAGAAUAAGCACCGGCUAACUCUGUGCCAGCAGCCGCGGUAAUACAGAGGGUGCGAGCGUUAAUCGGAUUUACUGGGCGUAAAGCGUGCGUAGGCGGCUUUUUAAGUCGGAUGUGAAAUCCCCGAGCUUAACUUGGGAAUUGCAUUCGAUACUGGGAAGCUAGAGUAUGGGAGAGGAUGGUAGAAUUCCAGGUGUAGCGGUGAAA
rnacentral:rRNA from 1 species